UACGGGGGGGGCAAGCGUUGUUCGGAAUUACUGGGCGUAAAGGGCUCGUAGACGGCCAACUAAGUCAGACGUGAAAUCCCUCGGCUUAACCGGGGAACUGCGUCUGAUACUGGAUGGCUUGAGUUUGGGAGAGGGAUGCGGAAUUCCAGGUGUAGCGGUGAAAUGCGUAGAUAUCUGGAGGAACACCGGUGGCGAAGGCGGCAUCCUGGACCAACACUGACACUGAGGAGCGAAAGCCAGGGGAGCAAACGGG
rnacentral:rRNA from 1 species